ACAGCGUAGGAAACGGUAAGGUCCGGAGCGUUAUCCUCUGGUAUGUCAUUGCAAUAGUAAACCUACCAUCGGCAAGGGCUGGUGCCUUACAAAAGGCGUUAACAGAAGAAUACUGUUUUAAUCUCCUAUUGCAAGCUGCUUUGUAUGGGAAAAUAUUCACUCAUAAAGUCGGGAUUGACAUGAUAGUUAGAAGUCUUCUUUCCAUAUUGUUACGAAAUCUUCGUGUACAGAUAGAAAAGCUGAACAGCUAAGAGCCAUCUAACGUUCGGAGGACAUCGUAAGAUCGAGUAUGUCGUCCAUCCCAUCAAACCAUUUAACGAUGUCAUCAAGAGAAAGGUUCACCGCAAGUCUUGUCAUAGCUUGUCCAUUUGUAAUUUGUUUUUCGUUAUUCGGAGUGUUUAAUUUAAUCGGAGGAAGCGUACUCGUGUCAAUGGCUUUGAAACAGCAAAUUCAUCUGGAAGGAACUUUAUAUCGUACUUUUCCAAGCUUGCGUCAGCAGAAUCAGAGCUUAAGUAAUUUUCUGGACCCUUUAAUCGCUGUUGGCUCGAUCCUUCUGACAACAGGAUUGAUGUUGGUAUGUGUAGGAGUGUUUCUGGGAAUUGUUGCCUGCUACUCUUUCACAAGUCCGAGGAAAUCUCUUCCGUUAAUUCCUUCCUUUUCUUGCAUUCAGCUUUCCAGCUUGAACGCGAAAACUGAAGAAAACGAAAAUGCUAAACGCAGACCGUUAACCGAUAACCGUAGUGUAACCACCACGUUUACUUCUCCAAAACAAAAACUCAAUACUGGCGACUCCUGUUCACUGCGGGAAGUUGUUGUGGACGUCCAUAUCCCAUCAGUUUCUGGAGAAGAUGAAAUGUGUCGAUAAAACCAAUGUUCAAACAGCUACAACUCCCCCUAUCUGUGUCGUUUGUAUGUUAGAUAUGUAACGCUCUUGUCUGAUCUGAGUCGUGUAUUGCUGUCUACGUAAUUCAUCUGUUGUUUUCCAGCCGUAAUGCCAAUCUAUGUUCUUUGCUAGUUUGUUUACCUAAAAAAAA